rnacentral:other from 1 species
AAAAUCCUGCGAUGUACGUAACGGUCUUAAAGUUGUUUUGAACCAAUGACUGUUUCUAGGGAGACCUACAUCGAACCGUUGCUGACCUGCCCUCGAAAAGGGACUUCAAAUUCGGUUCUGCGGACACCCACCUGCGAGAGCGGGUUUGAAACACUAGACCGGACGGCAUUCGCGGGUUUUUU